AAGCAGCGAGGCCUAAAAUAAGACUUUGUUGCGGCUACAUGGAGCUGAGUGCCCUCCCUGAAGGCAAAAGCGGAAGGGGUAGGUCGUCGGCUACUCGGACACCUGCCGCGUCAAGGGCGGCAGCGGGAGCUGACCCUUCCCCGACGGACGGACGGACGCCGGUGAGGACUCUUUGGGUGUCACAAGGUAAGGGAAAGCGUGCCGGCGUCCAGCUCGGUGGCAGGCUCGCUCCCAGGUGGUGUUUCUGCACUGCAAAACAAUAAACGGUUGCUUUAAUUCUUUG